AUUGAACGCUGGCGGCAGGCCUAACACAUGCAAGUCGAGCGAGCGGCGGACGGGUGAGUAAUGUAUGGGGACUGCCCGAUAGCGGGGGAUAACUACUGGAAACGGUAGCUAAUACCGCAUACUCUCGGCUAACCCCUAUGGGAUUAGCUAGUAGGUGAGGUAAUGGAUCACCUAGGCGACGCUCCCUAGCUGGUCUGAGAGGAUGAUCAGCCACACUGGGACUGAGACACGGCCCAGACUCCUACGGAGGCAGCAGUGGGGAAUAUUGCACAAUGGGCGCAAGCCUGAUGCAGCCAUGCCGAGUGUAUGAAGAAGGCCCUAGGGUUGUAAAGUACGUUCAGUCGGGAGGCGUUACCGACAGAAGAAGCACCGGCUAACUCCGUGCCAGCCGCCGCGGUAAUUC
rnacentral:rRNA from 1 species